UACGUAGGUGGCAAGCGUUGUCCGGAUUUACUGGGCGUAAAGAGCGCGCAGGCGGUCGUUCAAGUCGCCGUGUGAAAGCCCCCGGCUCAACUGGGGGAGGGUCACGCGAUACUGAUCGACUCGAAGGCAGGAGAGGGUAGUGGAAAUUCCCGGUGUAGUGGUGAAAUGCGUAGAGUAAUCGGGGAGGAACACCAGUGGCGAAGGCGACUACCUGG
rnacentral:rRNA from 1 species